AUGGCCUCCGUGUCGGCCCCCUCCGUGUUCCCGCUGGCGCCGUGCUGCGAGGCCGCCGCGGCCGCCGCGGCCGUGGGCUGCCUGGUGAGCGGCUUCCUGCCGGCGCCGGUGUCGGUGAGCUGGAGCGGGCCGGGCGCCGGCGCCGCCGAGACCUCCGCCGCGGCGCUCGACCCGGCCACGGGGCUCUACCGCCUGAGCAGCCGGCUGCGCGUGCCGGCCGGCGCCGACGGCCCCUACACCUGCACCGUGCGGCACGCGCCCAGCGGCAGCCGCGUCCAGAGGGACGUCGAAGCCUGCGGCAGCGCCGCGCUCUCGCCGCCCGCCGUGCGGGUGCUGCACUCGGCCUCCUGCGGCGCCGACUCGGUGGAGCUGCUGUGCCUGGCGUCGGGCUUCGCGCCGGCCGCCGUCUCCGUCGAGUGGCUGCUGGACGACGAGCCGGGGCUGCUGCUGGCCACCGCCGGGCGGCCGCGGCGCCAGGACGGCGCCGCCACCUUCGCCGUCUCCAGCCGCACCAACGUGUCGCGGCACGACUGGCUGGAGGGCAGGACCGUCACCUGCCGCGUGCGGCACCCCGGCACCGACACCGUCGUGCUGGACCACGCGCGACACUGCCCCGGCGCCGAGAGCCGCUGCACCAGCAGCGUCGCGACCUUCGUGCUGCCGCCGAGCCCGGCGGGCCUCUACGUGCGGCGGGACGCCAAGCUGCGCUGCGUCGCCGUCAACCUGCCCAGCGACAGCGGCCUGCAGCUCUCCUGGAGCCGCGAGCGCCCCGGCGCCCUGCUGCCCGACUCGCUGGAGCUGCGCGAGCAGUUCAACGGCACCUUCACGGCCAGCAGCGCCCUGGCCGUGGCCACCGAGGACUGGGAGGCCGGCGAGCGCUUCACCUGCACCGUGCGCCACGAGGAGCUGUGGGUCCCCACCGCGGCCGCCGUGGUCCUCACCACCUCCGUGGUCCAUGCCAUGGGCGUCGUGGUCCUCACCAUGCGUGUCGUGGUCCUCGCCGCGGGUGUCGUGGUCCUCACCACCUCCAUGGUCCAUGCUGUGGGCGUCGUGGUCCUCACCAUGGGCGUCGUGGUCCUCACCACCUCCGUGGUCCAUGCCGUGGGCGUCGUGGUCCUCACCAUGGGUGUCGUGGUCCUCGCCACGGGCGUCGUGGUCCUCACCACCUCCAUGGUCCAUGCUGUGGGCGUCGUGGUCCUCACCAUGGGCGUUGUGGUCCUCACCACCUCCGUGGUCCAUGCCAUGGGCAUCAUGGUCCUCGCCAUGAUGGGCAAGGCCUCGCCGCCCAGCGUCUUCGCCCUGCCGCCCAGCCCUGAGGAGCUGUCGCAGCCCGACGUGACCCUCACCUGCCUGGUGCGGGGCUUCUACCCGGAGAACGUCGACGUGCAGUGGCUGAAGAACCACAACGCCGUGCCGGCCGGCGCCGCCAUCACCACGCCGCCGCUCCGCGAGCGCCCCGGCGACUCCUCCUUCUUCGUGUACAGCAAGCUGACGGUGCCGCGCGCCAGCUGGGAGGACAGGGCCUCCUACGCCUGCAUGGUGGUGCACGAGGCCCUGCCGCUGAAGUUCACCCAGCGCCUGCUGCAGAAGAGCCCCGGUAAAUAG